UACAGAGGGGGCAAGCGUUGUUCGGAAUUACUGGGCGUAAAGGGCGCGUAGGCGGCCUUCUAAGUCAGACGUGAAAUCCCUCGGCUCAACCGGGGAACUGCGUCUGAGACUGGAAGGCUUGAAUCCGGGAGAGGGAUGUGGAAUUCCAGGUGUAGCGGUGAAAUGCGUAGAUAUCUGGAGGAAUACCGGUGGCGAAGGCGGCAUCCUGGACCGACAUUGACGCUGAUGAGCGAAAGCUAGGGGAGCAAACGGG
rnacentral:rRNA from 1 species